rnacentral:rRNA from 1 species
GAUGAACGCUGGCGGCGUGCUUAACACAUGCAAGUCGAACGGAAAGGCCCAAGCUUGCUUGGGUACUCGAGUGGCGAACGGGUGAGUAACACGUGGGCGAUCUGCCCUGCACUUCGGGAUAAGCCUGGGAAACUGGGUCUAAUACCGGAUAGGACCACAUUUUGGAUGGUGUGGUGGAAAGUUUUUCGGUGUGGGAUGAGCUCGCGGCCUAUCAGCUUGUUGGUGGGGUAAUGGCCUACCAAGGCGUCGACGGGUAGCCGGCCUGAGAGGGUGUACGGCCACAUUGGGACUGAGAUACGGCCCAGACUCCUACGGGAGGCAGCAGUGGGGAAUAUUGCACAAUGGGCGCAAGCCUGAUGCAGCGACGCCGCGUGGGGGAUGACGGCCUUCGGGUUGUAAACUCCUUUCGCUAGGGACGAAGCGUUAUGUGACGGUACCUGGAGAAGAAGCACCGGCUAACUACGU